rnacentral:rRNA from 1 species
AUGGAGGCCAAGCUUGUAGUCAUCCUUGCGGCCUGCUUGUUGAUUUCCUUUAGCAAUGGAGGAGACGCACAGUGCACAGUGAAAGACCUCGUCGUCGCCCAGACCACCGCGCCGGCGCAGCCCGGAGAGACGUACCCGAAGCACGUGGUGACGGUGAAGAACACUUGCGUCUGCAUGCAGCUCAACGUGAAGAUGGACUGCGCGGGGUUCGACUCCUCUAUCGACGUCAUCCCUGCUGACACGAUCACGCCGGACGGCGACAAUGCGCUCUGCACCCUCAAUGGCGGUCGUCCGGUGUAUGGAAACGGCACGGUCACGUUCAGCUACGCGUGGAGCACAGACAUCAGCUUCCGGCCCGUCUCGUCGUACAUGGAAUGUUCCGUAGCACCAUAA